AUUGAACGCUGGCGGCAUGCCUUACACAUGCAAGUCGAACGCGAAAGCGGGGCAACCCGCAAGUAGAGUGGCGAACGGGUGAGUAAUACAUCGGAACGUACCCAGUAGCGGGGAUAACCUCUCGAAGAGAGGCUAAUACCGCAUACGACCUACGGUGGAAGAGGGGAGUCGCAAGACCUCUCACUAUUGGAGCGGCCGAUGUCGGAUUAGCUAGUUGGUGGGGUAACGGCCACCAAGGCGACGAUCCGUAGCUGGUCUGAGAGGACGGCCAGCCACACUGGAACUGAGACACGGUCCAGACUCCUACGGGAGGCAGCAGUGGGGAAUUUUGGACAAUGGGCGCAAGCCUGAUCCAGCCAUGCCGCGUGAGUGAAGAAGGCCUC
rnacentral:rRNA from 1 species